GCUGGGGAUAUCUCAAUGGUAGAGUGCUUAUCUAGCAUGCAUGAGGCCCUGGGUUCAAUCCCCAGCACUGCA
rnacentral:tRNA from 1 species